rnacentral:rRNA from 1 species
UGCAAGUAUCAGGUGAAUAAGCAUCGGCUAACUCCGUGCCAGCAGCCGCGGUAAUACGUAGGGAGCAAGCGUUAUCCGGAAUUACUGGGUGUAAAGGGAGUGUAGGCGGGACUGUAAGUCAGAUGUGAAAUAUGCCGGCUCAACUGGCAGACUGCAUUUGAAACUGCGGUUCUUGAGUGAAGUAGAGGUAAGCGGAAUUCCUAGUGUAGCGGUGAAAUGCGUAGAUAUUAGGAGGAACAUCAGUGGCGAAGGCGGCUUACUGGGCUUUAACUGACGCUGAGGCUCGAAAGCGUGGGGAGCAAACAGGAUUAGAUACCCUG